UCAUAGAUGGUCAUACUCUACAAAGAAGCCGACCGACACAUUGAUAUUUACAGAUUUUAAGACUAGUGUUUUUUUUUUGUUUUUGUUUGUUUGUUUUUUAUCAAAUAGAGAAGAUAAUACCAAAGUAAAUUUUAUCAUGCUUAACAGAUACUGGAUAAUUGUGCUGACUAUUGGUCCUGUAGUGACAGCUUCAGCAAUCAGAACAUGUCUUAGUAGUGACAACCAAAGAGUUGAAGUGGUAGAUGCUAAUCGACAACUAUGUUGUAAUGGGGUUCAUGCUAAGGUCUUGAAAAAUGGAGAUGAACAAAAGUGCUGUGAAGUGAUUCAUCAUGAUAGUGGGACAGUAAAGAGACAGGUGUAUAACUCGAGGACUUCCUUUUGUUGCGGAGGUGUUCUGUAUCAUCUACAGCCAAGUAAAAAAUUAUGCAAAGCCUAAAUGCUGUGGAGAUAUGGUACUGCUUAAUCAAACAACAGAAUUCUGUUGUGGUAACAAAACAUACAAAAGAUCCCCGCAACACCACCAGUGCUUUGAAACAGAUACCAAAUCGUUUACAAUAAGAUCUGAUGAGAAAGUUUGUUCAAUAUACACAAAAAACAGAACUGAGGAUGAAGGUUUACACAAGAGCACAAGUUGAAAAGAAAUGGAUCAGACUGUUGUGGAUUAACACUAUAUGACCAAAACUGAUCUCUUUUGUUUUAAGGAAGAACUUUGGCCAUAUGGAUCUCUACCUGCAGAGUGUGGUCCAGCCCACACAGUUCAUGAUCAAACUAAGACAGUGUGCUGUCAAGAUACAGGAAAAUUAAUUCCAAUCCCUGAAAGUCAUGCAAAGUAUCACAACAUUAAUCCAAACUACCGCUGUUUCAAAGGACGGUUGUUUGACGGAGAUAUCAAAGACAUUUUUCAGUAUGAAGGUGUUGUCGUUCCAAAACACUUUAAGCCAUGUGGAUCAGAGUACUAUGAUCCAAGUUUUUCUAGAGGGAAAGUGUUUUUUGG
rnacentral:lncRNA from 1 species